rnacentral:rRNA from 1 species
GCGGUAAUUCCAGCUCCAAUAGCGUAUAUGUAAAUUGUUGCGGUUGAAAAGCUCGUAGUUGGACUUCUGGCGUCCGCAUUCUGUCCGCCUUGCGCGAUGACGGUUUGCGGGCGUCGUUUNUGUCGACGGUGCGCGUCGGACUUCACUGGCCGAUGCGCUCUCUGUCGGCGACGUUACUUUGAGGAAAUCAGAGUGCUCAAAGCAAGCGUUUGCUCGUGACUUCACUAGCAUGGAAUAACACAGAUGGGCUCUUUUUCGCAACGUUGGUCUGCGUCAACUGAGCAACGAUCGAUAGAGACGGUCGGGGGCAUUCGUAUUGCGCAGUUAGAGGUGAAAUUCUCCGAUCUGCGCAAGACGCACUAAUGCGAAAGCAGUUGCCAAGGACGUUCUCUUAUGAUCAAGAGCGAAAGUCGGGGGAUCAAAGAUGAUUAGAUACCGUCGUAGUCCCGACCAUAAAUGAUGCCAACUGAGCGUCGGCGACGCGGCUGUCAGCCGGACGUCGGCGCUCUUGAGAGAAAUUAAAGUCUU